UCAGUUGGUCAUAAAACAUUUGUUUCAUCUCCACAGCAUUCCGGAGGAGAUUUUGUCAGACCAUGGUUUCCAGUUUGUGGCACGGGUCUGGAAGGACUACGCUGAAACCCUGGGGGCUUGUGUCGCGCUCACAUCUGGCCACCAUCCUCAGACUAACGGCCAGUGUGAGCGCAUGAAUCAAGAACUGGGGGCGAUGCUUCGUUGUGUGUGCUCCACCCAUCCUACAACAUGGAGCUCUCAUCUCGCCUGGGUGGAGUACACCCAUAAUAGUCACACAUCCACAGCCACAGGAGAGGGAGUGCCCAGCUGUUCCUGAUCAGCAAUCAGCGGGGUGUUUCCUACUUAAGGUGGAUGGAGGACACAAUUCAACGCCAGAAGAUUGCCUCAGCUUGGAUUCCUGUGUUUUUUCUCUGGUCGCAAAGCUUUGGAUACUUACCUCAGGACUCCAGGAUUUUGGAUACUCAGAACACCGAACCACUCAC